rnacentral:tRNA from 1 species
AAGAGCAUAGCUUAAUGAUGGUAUAGCAUCGGUCUCCAAAACCGAAGGUUGAAGGUUCAAAUCCUUCUGCUCUUA